rnacentral:rRNA from 1 species
UAAUACGAAGGGGGCUAGCGUUGUUCGGAAUUACUGGGCGUAAAGCGCGCGCAGGCGGAUGGUUAAGUCAGGGGUGAAAGCCUGGAGCUCAACUCCAGAAAUGCCUUUGAUACUGGCCGUCUUGAGUGCGGGAGAGGUGAGUGGAAUUCCCAGUGUAGAGGUGAAAUUCGUAGAUAUUGGGAAGAACACCAGUGGCGAAGGCGGCUCACUGGCCCGCAACUGACGCUGAGGCGCGAAAGCGUGGGGAGCAAACAGGAUUAGAUACCCUGGUAGUCCACGCCGUAAACUAUGGGUGCUAGCCGUCGGGCGGCUUGCCGUUCGGUGGCGCAGCUAACGCAUUAAGCACCCCGCCUGGGGAGUACGGUCGCAAGAUUA